AACGCACGUUGCGCUCUUUGGGACUACUGAAGAGCAUACCUGUUUGAGUAUCGAAAAGUGCACUGCUCACUUCUUUUGAAGGAGUGAGCAAGGAAUUGAGGUUUACCAUAUUUAUUGGGUAUUCCUUUAAAGGAAGAAAGGUAGAGAGACUUUGCAGGUCGCAAAAGUGAGAUAGAUAUCCCGCUGAGAGCGACAGGCUUGGAGUUGUAGCUGCCGAAAGUUUGAGGGUUGGGGGAAGGGUUGGUGAAGGGAAGGGUUGGUGGUGAAGGGUUGGUGAAGCCAACUCGGAGGCCAAAACUCGACUCGACUCGACUCGAAUUCAAAAUUCAAAACUCAAACUCAAACUCGAAACUUUUUGAACCUUUGAUCUCAAAUCAGGUAGGACUACCCGCUGAACUUAA
rnacentral:misc_RNA from 1 species